rnacentral:rRNA from 1 species
AUUGAACGCUGGCGGCAUGCCUUACACAUGCAAGUCGAACGAAGCACUUUCCUUGAUUCCUUCGGGAUGAUUUUUAAGUGACUGAGUGGCGGACGGGUGAGUAACGCGUGGAUAACCUGCCUUAUACAGGGGGACAACAGCUGGAAACGGCUGCUAAUACCGCAUAAGCGCACAGUAUCGCAUGAUACGGUGUGAAAAACUCCGGUGGUAUAAGAUGGAUCCGCGUCUGAUUAGCUAGUUGGUGAGGUAGAGGCUCACCAAGGCGACGAUCAGUAGCCGACCUGAGAGGGUGAGCGGCCACAUUGGGACUGAGACACGGCCCAGACUCCUACGGGAGGCAGCAGUGGGGAAUAUUGCACAAUGGGGGAAACCCUGAUGCAGCAACGCCGCGUGAAGGAAGAAGUAUCUCGGUAUGUAAACUUCUAUCAGCAGGGAAGAAAAUGACGGUACCUGACUAAGAAGCCCCGGCUAAAUACGUGCCAGCCGCCGCCGUAAGAC